rnacentral:rRNA from 1 species
GCAGCUUGCUGCUUUGCUGACGAGUGGCGGACGGGUGAGUAAUGUCUGGGAAACUGCCCGAUGGAGGGGGAUAACUACUGGAAACGGUAGCUAAUACCGCAUAAUGUCGCAAGACCAAAGAGGGGGACCUUCGGGCCUCUUGCCAUCGGAUGUGCCCAGAUGGGAUUAGCUUGUUGGUGAGGUAACGGCUCACCAAGGCGACGAUCCCUAGCUGGUCUGAGAGGAUGACCAGCCACACUGGAACUGAGACACGGUCCAGACUCCUACGGGAGGCAGCAGUGGGGAAUAUUGCACAAUGGGCGCAAGCCUGAUGCAGCCAUGCCGCGUGUAUGAAGAAGGCCUUCGGGUUGUAAAGUACUUUCAG